rnacentral:pre_miRNA from 1 species
CAACAGGUUUGUCUAUUUAACCAGCUAUCACAGUUUACCAUUUAUUUUUUGGAAGAACACUGCGACGUUUAUCACCAGACACUCGUAAUCAUCUUUUAAAAAAUUAUGGAAGAUUUCGCGUAUUUGAGGCAUACGACCAUUUC